rnacentral:rRNA from 1 species
UCGCUCCUACCGAUUGAGUGAUCCGGUGAAUAAUUCGGACUGCAGCAAAGUUUAGUUCCUAAGCCUUGCAGCGGGAAGUUUAGUGAACCUUAUCACUUAGAGGAAGGAG